rnacentral:rRNA from 1 species
AGACCCGAAACCCGGUGAUCUAGCCAUGGGCAGGUUGAAGGUUGGGUAACACUAACUGGAGGACCGAACCGACUAAUGUUGAAAAAUUAGCGGAUGACCUGUGGCUGGGGGUGAAAGGCCAAUCAAACCGGGAGAUAGCUGGUUCUCCCCGAAAGCUAUUUAGGUAGCGCCUCGUGAAUUCAUCUCCGGGGGUAGAGCACUGUUUCGGCUAGGGGGCCAUCCCGGCUUACCAACCCGAUGCAAACUGCGAAUACCGGAGAAUGUUAUCACGGGAGACACACGGCGGGUGCUAACGUCCGUCGUGAAGAGGGAAACAACCCAGACCGCCAGCUAAGGUCCCAAAGUCAUGGUUAAGUGGGAAACGAUGUGGGAAGGCCCAGACAGCCAGGAUGUUGGCUUAGAAGCAGCCAUCAUUUAAAGAAAGCGUAAUAGCUCACUGGUCGAGUCGGCCUGCGCGGAAGAUGUAACGGGGCUAAACCAUGCACCGAAGCUGCGGCAGCGACGCUGAUGCGUUGUUGGGUAGGGGAGCGUUCUGUAAGCCUGCGAAGGUGGCCUGUGAGGGUUGCUGGAGGUAUCAGAAGUGCGAAUGCUGACAUAAGUAACGAUAAAGCGGGUGAAAAGCCCGCUCGCCGGAAGACCAAGGGUUCCUGUCCAACGUUAAUCGGGGCAGGGUGAGUCGACCCCUAAGGCGAGGCCGAAAGGCGUAGUCGAUGGGAAACGGGUUAAUAUUCCCGUACUUGGUGUUACUGCGAAGGGGGGACGGAGAAGGCUAUGUUGGCCGGGCGACGGUUGUCCCGGUUUAAGCGUGUAGGCUGGUUUUCCAGGCAAAUCCGGAAAAUCAAGGCUGAGGCGUGACGACGAGGCACUACGGUGCUGAAGCAACAAAUGCCCUGCUUCCAGGAAAAGCCUCUAAGCAUCAGGUAACAUCAAAUCGUACCCCAAACCGACACAGGUGGUCAGGUAGAGAAUACCAAGGCGCUUGAGAGAACUCGGGUGAAGGAACUAGGCAAAAUGGUGCCGUAACUUCGGGAGAAGGCACGCUGACACGUAGGUGAAGUGAUUUACUCAUGGAGCUGAAGUCAGUCGAAGAUACCAGCUGGCUGCAACUGUUUAUUAAAAACACAGCACUGUGCAAACACGAAAGUGGACGUAUACGGUGUGACGCCUGCCCGGUGCCGGAAGGUUAAUUGAUGGGGUCAGCGCAAGCGAAGCUCCUGAUCGAAGCCCCGGUAAACGGCGGCCGUAACUAUAACGGUCCUAAGGUAGCGAAAUUCCUUGUCGGGUAAGUUCCGACCUGCACGAAUGGCGUAAUGAUGGCCAGGCUGUCUCCACCCGAGACUCAGUGAAAUUGAACUCGCUGUGAAGAUGCAGUGUACCCGCGGCAAGACGGAAAGACCCCGUGAACCUUUACUAUAGCUUGACACUGAACAUUGAGCCUUGAUGUGUAGGAUAGGUGGGAGGCUUUGAAGUGUGGACGCCAGUCUGCAUGGAGCCGACCUUGAAAUACCACCCUUUAAUGUUUGAUGUUCUAACGUGGACCCGUGAUCCGGGUUGCGGACAGUGUCUGGUGGGUAGUUUGACUGGGGCGGUCUCCUCCUAAAGAGUAACGGAGGAGCACGAAGGUUGGCUAAUCCUGGUCGGACAUCAGGAGGUUAGUGCAAUGGCAUAAGCCAGCUUGACUGCGAGCGUGACGGCGCGAGCAGGUGCGAAAGCAGGUCAUAGUGAUCCGGUGGUUCUGAAUGGAAGGGCCAUCGCUCAACGGAUAAAAGGUACUCCGGGGAUAACAGGCUGAUACCGCCCAAGAGUUCAUAUCGACGGCGGUGUUUGGCACCUCGAUGUCGGCUCAUCACAUCCUGGGGCUGAAGUAGGUCCCAAGGGUAUGGCUGUUCGCCAUUUAAAGUGGUACGCGAGCUGGGUUUAGAACGUCGUGAGACAGUUCGGUCCCUAUCUGCCGUGGGCGCUGGAGAACUGAGGGGGGCUGCUCCUAGUACGAGAGGACCGGAGUGGACGCAUCACUGGUGUUCGGGUUGUCAUGCCAAUGGCACUGCCCGGUAGCUAAAUGCGGAAGAGAUAAGUGCUGAAAGCAUCUAAGCACGAAACUUGCCCCGA